rnacentral:lncRNA from 1 species
GCCUUGUUGCUACUUGCUGGAUCAAGGAGGUAAUCAACAAGAAAAGAAUUAUCAACAUAGAUUUAGUGUGAUACUAUCUAAUAGGCUAGUGUCGAUUGGUGCGAAGUAAUAACUAAGUCAAACAUCGAUUAUGAUGUCUAAUAUGAGGUAAAGGUAAGGGUUAGUAAAUUAUACACACGUAGCCGGAUCAAGGUGCGGGGUGAAAUUCUUU